GAUGAACGCUGGCGGCGUGCUUAACACAUGCAAGUCGAACGGGGUGCUCAUGACGGAGGAUUCGUCCAACGGAUUGAGUUACCUAGUGGCGGACGGGUGAGUAACGCGUGAGGAACCUGCCUUGGAGAGGGGAAUAACACUCCGAAAGGAGUGCUAAUACGCAUGAUGCAGUUGGGUUCGGCAUGGCGUCUGACUGCCAAACGAUUUAUUCGCUCUGAGAUGGCCUCGCGGUCUGAUUAGCUAGUUAGGCGGGGUAACGGGCCCACCUAGGCGACGAUCAGUAGCCGGACUGAGAGGUUGACCGG
rnacentral:rRNA from 1 species